rnacentral:rRNA from 1 species
AUGGUCGGCAUGAAGCUUCCGCCGCCGCCCACGCGCUCGACGAUCACCACCACGACGAGCGCCGGCUCUCACGAGCUCAAGGUGGAGGGCUACUCCGUGACCAAGCUGCUCGUCGACGGCGAGCGCAUCGAGUCCAGCAAGUUCAGGGCGGCGGGCCACGAUUUUCAGAUCUGCUACUACCCGAACAAGUACCGUAAGAAGGACUGCAACACCGGGAGAAUAUCAGCCCCUCCCGGAGCGCAGAUGCUCCACGCCGGGAGCAACGCCACCAUCUCGUUCUUCCUCAAGUUGGCCGGCGGCAGCAAGGGCAAGGACGUCCGCGCCGAGUUCCAGUUCAGCCUGGUCCCUCGGCACGGCGGCGAGCCUGCAGCACCGGGGGCGCCGGCGAAGGUCCGGUUUGUUGGUGAACGCCACGUGGUGACGUUCCCUCGGAAGCACAAUGGCGUUGAGUACUGGGGCCUGAAGAUCUCGAAGAAGGAGCUCGAGAAGUCGCCGGAGUACCUCUGGGACGAUUCCUUCGUCGUGCGGUGCGAGAUCUCCGUCGUCGAGAAGCCGAUCGUGAGAAGCCAUGACUUCAUGGUCUGCCGCUGCAAGGAUGACUUGUGCAAGCAUCAUCAUCUGACGGGCGCCUCACUGGUCAAGGACGUAGUCGUCAACUACUUUCUUAAGUGUCUCGGUAUAUAA